UAAAAUUGCAUCCCCCUCUCUCUCUCUCUCUCUCUCUCUCUCUCUCUCUCACGUUCUGCCCUCAUCCUCACAGUCACCUUCUUCUCCGAUGAUUCCCCUCAUCAGCUUCUUCUCCAUCACCGGAUCAUCUACUGUUUCGAUUAUCGUAACCUCCAUCGCCAAUGAUUCGCUCAUCAAGCUUGUCUGUUUCCCCUAAAAUCAGAGCCGCAUCGUCCAAAUCUGGAGUUAUUUCUCCUCAUCGAUCUCUCAUCUCCGACCGAUUUUGAAGGCACCGACUCCGAUCCUCUACAAUUCCAUCGAGAUAUAGAAUUAAUUAUCUUACUGGAGCCACCGCUGGCCAUUCAGAAAUCGACUUCUCUCGUAUUCUUCACUGACUCUCCUGUCGUCCGCCUAUCUCCGCCCUCCAAUAGUCGUCCGCCUCUCUCAAAUCUCCAUGACUUUUUUUUGCAAUCGAUCGUUGAUUUCUUCCAUUUCUCCAUAGAUCAGUCGUAUUUCCUAAAGACAAUCACCGAUCUACCGAUGCCAAUUGAUGUUUGAUUUCUUCCACUUCAAUGUCUGACACCUCCUUGAUCACAUAAUUGUCUUCUUCCACCAUUGUCUCCGAAUUAGAUCUGAAGUGGCCUUAAUCGCUCGUCGGUGAAGAUUGACGGAAGUAGAUCGUUGAUUGUCGAUGAAUUCAACUGAAAACCUAUGUAAAUAUCUCCACCUUCUUCUCUACACUAUUAGAAGUAAAUUUUUUUUUUUUUUUUUUUUUUACUGUUUGUGUCUCUCAAUUUGAUCUACUGUGAGCAGCGAUGAUGCAUGAAGUUUAUGGAUUUCAGAGAAUAACCGUCCAAAUCUGAUCGUUAAUGAUGCAUUGCUUUUAAUUUUUCGAUAUGGUAUUACCUUUUUCUUGACAACAUAUUACCAGUAUUUUUAAAGGUAUUGAUUUUCAUUUUUUUUCUCUAAUUGAUCUCUAAUCGGAGCAUAAUUGUCUACAAAAUUGUAUAUUAUGUCAUUUAUAAUAUUUUUAUAUACUUCACCUAGAUACAAUGUUAAGCUCUCCAUUUCCCUGUUAGUUGUUAUACUCUUCAGCUUUCUUUGAUCUGAUCAUAAACAGCAAGAUGCUUUAGUGCUUAUUAUGUUGUUUUUUUGUUAAUUAGCACUCGUAGGAGUCCUAAUUUUUUAAUAUUGAUUUGUAUUAACAAUGUUACACUUUGUUAGCUUUUAUACUCUUUUGAAAUUUUUAUUACGAUAUAGGUUUAUUUACUUUUAUGUUUUAUGUUUUACAAAAGCUAAUUAAUGACAACGUUUGAAUCUUCUUUUAGAAUUUUUCUACAGUUAGGACUUAGGAGAUGCAUUAAGGUGGCUAUAUGGUUCUAAGGGGACCUAGUGAGAGCUUUUGGAAUGCUUGCUGGAAUUACUCCAAUGUUUCAGGUAAAGCAUAGUAAAACAUGUUCAUCCCUCCUAUGAGAAGAACUUCCAUGAGCUGAUUGAAACAUAAACAAAAAUCCAAAAAUUUGGAAGAAAUUAUGGUGAAUAUUGAAGAGGUGAAAAAUGAUAAAUUGAAGAAAAUAUGGAAAUAUUGACACGAAUACAGAAAAACGCUUUGAAAUUUUGUAGCAUUUUUUUUAUUUUUAUAUUUUAUAUUGUAUCGAAUAAAAUACUUAUUGUAAUGUGUUUAUAGAUUACUAAAUAAAAUAAGUUUUCUUA